rnacentral:tRNA from 1 species
GGCCGUGGCUCAGUGUGGCAGAGCAUCUGUUUUGCAUGCAGAGUUUCCUAGGUCCAGUCCCCAGUGUCGCCA